rnacentral:rRNA from 1 species
AGGAUGAACGCUGGCGGCGUGCUUAACACAUGCAAGUCGGACGGUGAAGCCCAGCUUGCUGGGUGGAUCAGUGGCGAACGGGUGAGUAACACGUGAGCAACCUGCCCCUGACUCUGGGAUAAGCGCUGGAAACGGUGUCUAAUACUGGAUACGAACAGUGACCGCAUGGUCAGUUGUUGGAAAGAUUUAGUUGGUUGGGGAUGGGGCUCGCGGCCUAUCAGCUUGUUGGUGAGGUAAUGGCUCACCAAGGCGUCGACGGGUAGCCGGCCUGAGAGGGUGACCCGGCACACUGAGACUGAGACACGGCCAGACUCGU